rnacentral:rRNA from 1 species
GGCAGCGGCGAUAACCACGUUGUAUGUAGGUACCCCUUCCUCCACUGAAGUUAAGCAACGUUGCGCGUGGUUAAUAUCCGGAUGGGUGACCAUCUGAAACAUCGUGUGCUGUUGGCC